rnacentral:rRNA from 1 species
UACGUAGGGUCCAAGCGUUAUCCGGAAUCACUGGGCGUAAAGCGUGCGUAGGCGGCGUGUUAAGUGUGAUGUUAAAUCGUGUGGCUCAACCAUAUCGAUGCAUCACAUACUGGCAUGCUAGAGGAAGGCAGAGGCAAGUGGAAUUGGUAGUGUAGCAGUGAAAUGCGUAGAUAUUACCAGGAACACCAAUGGCGAAGGCAGCUUGCUGGGCCUUUUCUGACGCUGAGGUACGAAAGCGUGGGGGAGCGAACAGG